rnacentral:lncRNA from 1 species
CUACCUUAUUGUUUACUCGUAUUCUGUACUAUAAAUACUCCACAUUCUCUUUUGCAAAGACAACAGCCUUCUGACUUACACACACCACUGAAUACUUUCAAUAAUCUGCAUUCUCUCUUUCUCGCUUGCUCCUUUGCUCUAUUGUUGUUCUCUGCUCCUGCUUAUUAUUAGCUAGUUCAAAGCCAAGGCCAAUAUAGUGUUACUGCUUUGUCUUUGCAUCCUGCUUUUGAUCUUUUACUGCUGUGUCUUCUAUUUGAUUUACAUUUUCCAAAACAACAAGUUUUUAUGUGUAUUGUACUUCCUCUUGUUUCUUUUAUGCUUUUACUUAUGGUUCUGCUGUUCUCAAUUGCAAUUAGCCUGCCUCUGUGUUAGUUCAUUAAUGUGACUAUCUUUUCCUUAAUUCAGCAUGCCUACUACUUCCCUUAUUUGUUUAAUACAUGUUCUUCCUCACCCCUAACCCCGGUACAUUAUCAACAUGUAACCCUGAACCUCUUCCUCACCUCCCUAUAGAAUGACUUCUUAUUUUUCUUUAUUACUGUAAUUUAGCUAUCAUGGUUUGUAACAACUUGUAAAUAACUGAUUGGGUUAACAGUGAAAUUGGGAGGGGUUAUGCAUGCUUAGUUUAAAAAACAUGCUUAUAGGACUUUACUUCUUUGUGUAAUAGAUAUCAUGUAUAAAACAUGCAUCUCAUACAAUUAGAGAUCCUAUUUUGGGCUCUUUACUUUCAUCCUGUUAUCAAACUCAGUUCGUAAUCAAG